GGUCAGUGAUGAAUAGUAAAAGGUCUGAUUGCUCACUGGUGUUGCUCCUUUACCCUCGCAAUUCCCAGCAGUUCCUCUUCCAUCUUGCUCUAGAAGUGCUAUGACUGGAAGAGCUUUUGCUGAUAAGUAGUGAUGUAUUCAUCUUGUGUUACUCUUGAGUAUUGGGUAGACACAGUGAAAUUCCAUCCAACAUAAACAAAUAUAGGAAUUUGAGGUAUUGGAGCCAUGUCCGGGCAUGUGAUCUCACAUUUUUAGCUGAGACC